rnacentral:rRNA from 1 species
CUUGGUCAUUUAGAGGAAGUAAAAGUCGUAACAAGGUUUCCGUAGGUGAACCUGCGGAAGGAUCAUUACAGAAUAAACUUGAUGGGUUGUAGCUGGUUCUCUCGGGAGCAUGUGCUCGCCUGUCACUUUUGUUUUUCCACCUGUGCACCAUUUGUAGCCUUGGAAUUAUAAAACUAUCUGAAUGCUUUUCAGUAUGAGGGUUUGCUGGGCCACACUUGGCUAAGCUUCCCUUGCUGGUUUCAAGGCUAUGUUUUCUUUUAUACACCCCUGUAGUAUGCCUCAGAAUGAUAUUCAAGGGCCCUAGUGCCUAUAAAGUUUAUACAACUUUCAGCAACGGAUCUCUUGGCUCUCGCAUCGAUGAAGAACGCAGCGAAAUGCGAUAAGUAAUGUGAAUUGCAGAAUUCAGUGAAUCAUCGAAUCUUUGAACGCACAUUGCGCCCUCUGGUAUUCCGGGGGGCAUGCCUGUUCGAGCGUCAUUUCAACCCUCAAGCUCUGCUUGGUAUUGGGCCUGCGCCGGUGAACCGGCGGGCCUCAAAAUCAGUGGCGGUGCCAUCUGGCUUCAAGCGUAGUAACACAUCUCGCUUCUGGAGACCCAGGUGGUUGCCUGCCAGCAAACCCCAUCUUCUCAGGUUGACCUCGGAUCAGGUAGGGAUACCCGCUGAACUUAAGCAUAUCAAUAAGCGGAGGA